rnacentral:rRNA from 1 species
GGCGACCGGCGCACGGGUGAGUAACGCGUAUCCAACCUGGCCCGCAGUAGGGAACGAGCCGGCGAAAGUCGGAUUAAUGCCCUAUGUCUUCCUUUGCAGGCAUCCAAUGAGGAAGAAAGAUUUAUCGCUGCGGGAUGGGGAGUGCGUCUGAUUAGCUUGUCGGCGGGGUAACGGCCCACCGAGGCUACGAUCAGUAGGGGUUCUGAGAGGAAGGUCCCCCACACUGGUACUGAGACACGGACCAGACUCCUACGGGAGGCAGCAGUGAGGAAUAUUGGUCAAUGGGCGAGAGCCUGAACCAGCCAAGUAGCGUGCAGGAACCGACUGCCCUAUGGGUUGUAAACUGCUUUUAUGCGGGGAGUAAACUUCAGCACGUGUGCUGUUUUGUCAGGUACCGCAUGAAUAAGGACCGGCUAAUUCCGUGCCAGCCGCAGC